UAUCUUCUCCCAAGCUUACUCCCUAACAUUCAAAUCAAUAUGCUCCUCAACUCGUCACCCGAGAAAUUAACUCUGUCCCGUCGGCGCUCGCUUUCCGCGGCGGAGGAGGACCAAUGAGCCCCAAAUCUAGAUCAAUACGACCGCCAUACCUCCCUCUGUUACAAUCUCAAACUCGUUUCUUCCAAAUCAUUAGCAAAAGGACAAAUCAAAACUCACAAAACCUAAACCCUAGCCCCUCAUAUUUGAAAUUGAAUGUCGUCCAAGUCCGAUUCCGAUCCGGUUCCUUAGGGUUAUGGUUCUUCUAUGUAAUAGCUAUCAAUUGGUGAAAAAGAGAAGGCAAGAACAAGAUAUACCAACCUGCGAAGCGGAGAAAUGCUCUGGUAUUUGCUGUAAUCGAAGAAGAAGACGAAUUUCAAGAAAACCAGAGAAUGAGGAAUAUUCAGGAUGUGGAAUGCAAUAUUAUUGGUCUUGCUGUAGGCCAUUGUUCAUGAUGCAAGAUUACAGAAUUGGCGCAUAUGGUUGUUGUUGAUGUUGUCAUGCCAAAGUAUCAUCCAUGGUGGUCAUGAAGUGUAGUAUUAAGACCAUCUUGUGUAGCAUGAAUACUAGCAUAGAAAUAGGGUCUUUCUUUAUGAAUAACAUGCAAUGUCACAUUUUAGGAUCAAUGCCAAUUCUCAUGGAAAAAUACUGGCAACUUAUUGAUAUGGUUUAAACUUAGGACUUGUAUGAUUGUUGUAGCAUGGUGUAUGGAAUCUUGAAACAUGUAAUGAGCUCACACUUUGGUAAUCCAAAUUCCUUACCAAUUCACAAUGCAAAUCUCAUGGAUGAA